GAAAGAAUAUAAAGGUAGCAUGGCAGCUGCCCUGAGAGGGGCCGGGCUGCAGAGAGGACUCAGGUGGUGUUUGCCAGGAAUUUCCUAAGCAGCUCAUGGUUGUGUGCGCUCCUGUGCGGGGCUGCUUGGCUUCUAACUUCAAGUACUUCUUAUGAACGCUGAUUCUUUGGCGGUGAGAUGUUGUAACGAUCACUGUAAACGGGCGCUAUUAACAUAUUUCAACCUUCUCGUCUAUUUUGAACUUGUUCUCCCUAUUGGGCUCUUCAUAAAACUACAGUGUUAUUUCCUAUACCAGCUGAAAGAGCCGCUGAGUUCAGAAAUGGAUGUGAAGCGUCCCCAAACCUCCAACACUGUUUCUGGUGAAGGUCGUUUUUGUUUUCAGGAUCAAAUGUGUGUAUUGUGAGGUGUAUUGUGAGUUACACCAUUGACCUAAGCACUUCUUUUUGUCUGACUUCCUCUUAACGCAUCUAGAUGAUCUCUGCCAUACCAACAAGUGAAUGGGAAGUAUCAAAGUACUUCUGAAAGAUCUCGGUUCUCCAUUUGAGAUGACUGGAUUACUCUCAUUGGCUGUAAUUCUCAUCAUCGCCAGAAAGCAUCUCAGAUACUUAAAAAGAGAUGCCCAAUCCUGUAGUAGUUGGGAUCAGUCUUGCUGUUAGCUGUCUACAGAGCAAAACGAGCAGGUGAAGGGCUAAAUUGUGGCUGUGGAGCUUUCUGUGUCUGUGCUGCUGCUGGGAGCUCCCAGGCUGAGAUUCCAUGCUGAGUGGGGACUGAGCCACGUGGAGAUGAGUUGGGCUCUCCCCAAGGUGGUAAACAAGGAGCACAUAAAACACAGCUGUGUAUGCAUGUGUUUAAUUUGAUCGUUCUCAGUGUACAUUACCUGAGACAAGGAAGGCUUGGUAACUGUCAGCAGGGGAUGAUGCUUCCAGCCCUGAUACUCAUGUUGUCUCACUUGAACAGUGACAUGUCCUCAUUUAACAAAACUGACUUUUUUUUCCCCUCUUGUUGUAUUUGAUAUUCAAGUUUCGUUACCAAAACUGGUCCUGAGCUGUUUAUGAUUUAAUAUCCAGCCCAUGAGGAGGUUUGGGUUUGGGCCAAAUGAUGAACAUGACAGAAAAACUAAUGCUGCGCUGUGUAAAGGAUCAGUUUGGAUGGGAAAGGGGAGGUGUUCACAGUGGAAGGGCUGCAAAGAAGUUACCCCAGAGCCAUGUGCACAACCUGUUC
ensembl:lncRNA